CUCCAACAUUACAGUCUUGCAGCCAGGUUGAGCUUGUACUCAUAACAGAACCAUAGAAUCAUCCACUUGACACCUGGUUCAAGGACGAAUUCCUGCCUGGCAGCCCUGAAAAGUCAAGAGGGAACUUCUCAGAAAUGACUGAUCUCUGUAAUACUACAUGUGGACCGCCACAUCGCGCCGUGAGUGGAGGUCAUCUGAUCCUUGCUUCUAUACCUUCAUGCUGCCUGCAGACGAGAAUGGGCCUUUCUCUUCCAGCUGGAUAGCUCCAGUUCUGUAAAUGAAACUGUGACCUUUAGCAGCAGCACUGAUGAUAACUGCUUCAUUUUCCAUACUUUCCUGUUUUCAUUACAUGACGAAUUCUUGGCAAAG